rnacentral:misc_RNA from 1 species
AAGUCGUAACAAGGUUUCCGUAGGUGAACCUGCGGAAGGAUCAUUACCGAGUUCGUGCCCUUCGGGGUAGAUCUCCCACCCUUUGUUUACUAUACUAUGUUGCUUUGGCGGACCGCCUGAUCGCCCCUCGGGGUCUUCAGCUACCGGCUUCGGCUGGUACGUGUCCGCCAGAGGACCCAAAACCCUGAAUAUUAGUGUCGUCUGAGUAAAAAGUUUAAUAUUUAAAACUUUCAACAACGGAUCUCUUGGCUCUG